UAUAAGGGAUUUUGAGUUUUUGCUUGCAGCGUUUGACCACUCGUCUUAUUCAAAUUUUUUUGAAAUUAUUAAUUAUUUUAUUUGUGACUUACUUUAUAUCUACAGUACUUUAAGCACAACUUUUCAUUUUUAUAUUUGCAUCUAAUAGAUUUGAAUAAGACGAGUGCUCAAACGUUGCAAGCAAAAACUUAAAAUCCCUUAUA
rnacentral:pre_miRNA from 1 species